rnacentral:lncRNA from 1 species
CUUGAAAGUAAUGUUGCAGCUUUCGUGAAGUGAGCAGAAUUGCAUAUAGGAGUUUUUGUAUCGGCGAGUACCGAGUUUUGGAGUCCAAGAGUACUUCACUGACGAAGUAUACAGGUCUUUGGACUUUGUAAACAUGGCCUGGCUCAGACCGUUCGACUACUAUUGCCGUGCUGAUGACGUGAGUAGUAGCUUCUAUGUAUAGGAACAAGUCCUCGUUUGGAGAUGGAGCAGUGAGGAUUGGAGGUUUUGA